CCAGACACAACGAGGAUUGACAGAUUGAGAGCUCUUUCUUGAUUUUGUGGGUGGUGGUGCAUGGCCGUUCUUAGUUGGGGGAGUGAUUUGUCUGCUUAAUUGCGAUAACGAACGAGACCUUAACCUGCUAAAUAGCCCGCGUCGCUUUGGCGGCGCGCAGGCUUUUUAAAGGGACUAUCGGCUCCUUCGGGCUAGCGGAGUCGAGCCAUUGUGAGGCCUGUAAUAAUGAAUG
rnacentral:ncRNA from 1 species